CAUAAAGCCUGUUUUUGAUGCCCACACCCUCCCCUCAAACCCCAAGGCACCCGUUAUCCACCAGCACUGCACGCAGAAAUGCUGGGACUGCAAGGACCUCUCCAGGAUGCCACAGGGACUGGGUGGUUUGGUCCACCCUGCAAGUCAAGCGUUGAUCUGACUUUUGAUGAUGAGUUCAACCUCAGCAAAUACCCCGUGUCCUCUUUUCCCAAGGGAAAAGAAAGGAGCAGACCUUCAUAUUCUGUCUGUUCUUUGCCCAGCAUUUACUUCUGCUCCCAGCUCCCAAGUCAGGUCCUUCUGCUGUGAUCCUCAGUUUUGCACAACAGGGUUUUCCAUCCUAUUUCCAUGUGCAGAUGUCUUGGAUAGCCUGAGAUGGCUCAAAUGCAAUGAAACACCUAUAUUCAGGCAAAAAUUAUUUUUUCUUUUUUUUCCUCUAGUGAGAUUUAAACAUGACUCACACACAGACCUUAUUGGAAUGGAGAUGUUUUAACCCGUGAGCUGAAUCCCACAGACGGGACUGAGA